rnacentral:RNase_P_RNA from 1 species
GCGAUGAACCAGACCGCCGCCGUGUUUUCAUCAUACGAUGAAAAUGCGGAGGAAAGUCCGGGCUCCGCAGGGCAUGAUGCCGGGUAACACCCGGGCUCGGUAGGUAAUCGUGAAAGCGCUUAUGUGCCGGGACAGAAAGCGCAACAGAAAGUAUACCGCCCGACCACAUAUUAUGUGGUCGGGUAAGGGUGAAAUGGCAGGGUAAGAGCCUGCCUCGGCAGCGGCAACGCUGCCGGAAAGAGGCAAGCCUCAUCAGGAGCAAAGUCAAGCAGCGGCGUGUAUAGCAAGCUGUACACGAUGCGGCUGGCGAAGCCAGCCGUGCCGGCGGCCCGCCGGUUAAACGCGGGUAGACUGCACAGAAAAAGCCGGUAACGGCCUUUCAAGACAGAUGGCGGUAGAUAGUUUCUAUCGACAGAACCCGGCUUAUGGUUCAUCGCUUUU